CGUGAACACGUGAGAGUAUUAUAGUCGAUAACUACGUGAUUAUCACGUGUAUUACUACUUUAAAAUCAUAUUACUACAGAACUGAAGCGAAAUAUCCCUUAGUUGAUGGAUAUUCCAGUUUGAACGCGUUUCAAGAAAUGUCCAGGCCGGUGUAAAUAUUGGCCUAUUUAAUAUUUAGACAAUACGGAUUGAGGCUGCCCGCUCGGUGACUGCACCUUACUCCUGUGGUGCAGAAACUUAUCAUCUUUCUGACCAGCCGAAAAGACAUCUGCGAAAUUUAUCAGGUGGACUGCUGCAGGUGAGAGAGAUAAUAAAUCGUCAGGUCAACAGAGCCAGGAUACCGAGCAUGUGCAGAAGGGCCAUCAUGCACAAUGAUGUCACAGUCACUUGAUGUCAGUGCUUUAAUCACACACACUCCACGAGGUUGCCGUGGUUACCGAUGAUCAGCCUGACAGCAGCUUUAUCUUACAAGAGUUCUUGAGACUUUUGCAGUACAAUGAAGGGUGAAAGAUCCCAGUGCUGAACCUAGCACAUCACAAAGAAGCUAAACGUGGAGACUUUAGAAGAUGUACUAUUGGAUUAAAUGGAUGACAAAAUAAAUCAUUAUUUGAAAGUCUGCUUAAUAACUGGCGGGUGACAUUUAUAGCAUGGAUUCCUAAAACACCCAUUCUGUUGUUAAUAUAGACCAUCUGUAUUUAUUCUGUGGAAUUGAUCUAAUUUUAUGCAGUAUAAACUCGAGCUUUCUAAUUUCUGAGAUUUCACACAAACCCCCCCAACAUUUGUCCUGUUUGGAUAUUGUUUUUUUUUUAUGUGGCAACAUUGCUUCAGUUUAGUAGUUGACAAUGGAGAUAGAGCAGGCGUUUUCUGACUUGUUGACAGAGUUUGAGAGUGAGACAGCUCUGAUUGCAGCUGUAGAUUCUGACCCGGACUCUAGUGAGGAGGACGAUGAGGUGGACUCCACGGAGAGAAGAACCGCAAUAAAGACAAAACAACCAUUGGCUGAUCACAACUCUGUGUUCAUUUCUAACAGUAAACACAGGCUUAUUGCAUCUGAU